UUUUACUCGCUUCGUUCUGCACUCCUUCCGGUCUACUUUUACAUAAACGCUUCGGACUAAGAACAUUAUUCUCAACUGACCUACCAAAAUGGAAGAACUAAACUCUAGUACAACUCCGUCACCAUAUGUUGUAGAACUAAAAGAAGAAAUAAGCAAGCUUGAUGCAACAGAAUAUGCGCACGCCAUAAGGUUGCUUUCAGAAGAGACAAAGAGGGUAGAAAGCGGUGAUAAGUACAAAUCUGUGCCGAUUGUUGAACUACACCAUGACAGAUCUGCUAGUAAUUCAGUUAAAGUCAAAAUACCAUCGAAAGAAUAUCCCAAGGUUAAUUUCUCUGGGAAACUUUUGGGACCAAAGGGCAGCACCUUGAGGCAACUGACUCAGGAGACUGGUUGCAAACUAUCCAUUCUGGGCAGGGGCUCCAUCAGGGACAAAAACAAGGAGGAUGAGUUGAGAAAGCAAGGAGGAAAGUACUCCCAUCUGAAUGAUGAGCUGCACAUUCUUGUGGAAUGCUUCGCAGAGGCCACAGAUGGGUAUGGGAGGUUGGCGCAUGCGCUGGCUGAACUCAAGAAGUUUAUGAAUCCUCAUGAAGAGAACUUUCCACCUAUGGGUGGACCUGGAGGACCACCACAAAUGGGAAUGGAGGAUCCUUCUGGAUUCUACAGCAAUGGAUCAAUGGGUCGUGGAGGACCGUCCCCUCGGGGUCGUGGAGGAAUGGGUGGCAGAGGAGGGCUGCUCAGUCCACCAGCCUCCCAGGCUGGCAUGCCGCCUAGGUGGGGUUUCGAUAGGCCAGGACAAGGACCACCAGCAGGAAGAGGGGCACCUGCCCCACGGGGAGCCCCUGCAUCCCGCGGAGCCCCUGCACCCAGAGGGGCACCUGCUCCCAGAGGGGCCAUGUCAGCUAGAGGGGCCCCACCUAUGAGAGGAGCCCCAGCUAUGAGAGGGGCCACUCCACCAGUGUCUGCAGCUGGCAGGGGAAUGCCACCAGCCAGAGGGGCCCCAGGACGGGGAGCACCCAUGUCCCGUGGAGGUAUGCCCCCACAGAGAGGUUCUCCUGCUGGCCGGGGUCGUGGAGCCAUGUCAGCUCCACCAGCACCACCUGUACGUGCCCUCCAGCCAUUAGAGGCGGAAUAUGAUGACUAUGGAGCAGCGGCGGCAUAUGAAGAACCACUUGCGCAGCCUCAGCAGCAGCAGCAGACAUAUGGCCAGGAGGCUUAUGAUGAUGGAUAUGGCCAGGCCAGGAGGGACCCUUAUGCGGUCGAAGACCCUUACGCUGAACAAGCUCCUGCUGGAGGUGACACCCAGUUCUUCGACUAUGGACAUGGAGCCAGUAACACAGCCUAUGAUGACUACAGUUCCCCUUAUUAUCCCACAGGCGCACCACAAAGCCGGCCAGCCACAUCCAUGUACGACAGGUCAGCCCUGAAGGCACCAGCCCCUUCACCCUCACGUGGAGGAAGGGGCGCCAUGAGGUCUCAUCCAUACGAGGCUAGUCGGGCUCCCCCAGCCCAGCCCCGUUACUGAGCGGCAGGGUAUACCAGGAACGCAUUGAAUCCUACUUGACCUAAGCUGGGAUGUCCACUGUGUAACAGCAUCGUCUCUGUAGCUGAUGUCUUGUGAGCUACAGGCCCAGUUUGGCCAUUUACAUCCGAACUAUGGACAGUUUGGCUGUUGUGUUCAUUGGAUGAGGCAUCUGUAACCAGGAGUUGAUCCAAGGUCACUUCAACUGGACCCAAGCAGGGAGAUGUCUGGACAGAUGUUAUAAAUCUACACGCAGCUGUAGUAUACACGUGGAUGGAUAUGAUUGGAAUGUGAAUUAAAAUUACAAAGAAGUGCAUAACAAAAUUGUGUGAGAAAGUCAUUACAGUUUAUUGUUUUGUUUGGAAAUCUGAUAAGACAUUCAACUUGUACACUUUGUGUUAAAAUAUAUAUGGAUAUGGUACUGUAAUUUUGUUAAGUAUUUUAUCUGUGUAAACACACAAUGCUAAUAAAGACAUUAAAUUGGAAAAAAGU